UAUUUUACUCAAAGAGAAGUUUAAAUGAAUGUAUAUCUAUAUGUUAUUAUAUCAUAUUAGUGGUAUUGGUAUUUAAGUAAGCGUAUAAAAAGUGAAAUUCUUCUGCUGCCUUUGUUUUCUCCUUUGCAUUUCAGGGGGAAACAAAUGACGUUUUAUCCCCUUCGAACCCGAGCAGUUGUCUACGUCUGCACCUGAGACUGGCAACCUCUGCAGCUUGCCUAAUGACAUACAAACUACUGCUUUAAGCUGCUCCCAUAUUCACCAAGGGUCACCAGAGCAGCUGCCUUCCAGUGCUGCUGACUCCGUUCACCGACAGUCACAGUUGAAAUAUCAGAGAGCUGCUGCUGGUGAGCUGUCACCACCUUCACAAUCAGCCUCUGUUUGACCAGCUUAUGUCUGCCUGACCCAAGACCUCACCUCUCCUUCAGCUGCACUCUGUGCGAGGAGAUGUAGGCGUGUGUGACUGUGCGGAGGUAAGAAAUUAACUUCCCUCUCCCCGAAGGCAUGAUUUGCCCUUGUGAUGUGAUUUCUCAGAGUCAGUUUUAAUGAAACAAUGAACAGAAACACUCGUUUCCUCGGACUGGGUUGAUAUCGGCAGUUUAAUCUUUAAUCGGGUUGAUGUCUUUUUCUUCUUUUCUUCUUUCUUUUCUUUCUGUGAAAUAACCUCCCAAGCGCUUCCCGUGUUUGUUUAUAUCAAUAAAGCCGGGCUGCUGAAGCAGCAGUGAAAGUUGUCAGCUAGUGGAUUUGUUGUGACUGUGUCACCGCUUGUGUACAGCCUGACUGGUCUGGCAACAUUGUGGCAUGUCACAGUGAUGCGAGCCGUGGUGUGGACUGCGGCUAAACCUGUUGGUUCGGAAAAAAAGGGAAAGCUUGAACCGGGGAGCAGGGAGAGGAAGUGGCUAAUGGGGAAGAUGAAAUCCAACUUCCUCUACACUAAACAGCCUCCAGAGGAGAAAAGGAGGCCCUGUUCACCUCUGACAGUGGACGUUUCUCCCUCUGUGUGAGGUUUUGCUGUCAGCCUCUUUUUUAUUUUUCUUCUUAAUUCUGCUUAACCUCAUAUAAAGGGUACAAGCAAUCAAAAAAAGUAAACAUUUGACAGCAACAUAGCAAAUUUACAACAUGAUCUGAGUGUGAGGAAGAAAAGCCCUCAUGGUGGGAGGAGAAGACCCAAAUAGAGGAGAAAAAAACACAUCUCUUGCUGUCUGUGGCAAACCCUGCUUAUUCAUACUCACAAUGGACAGCCAGAUAAUAUUCUCCUCCACUAUUGAAGCUGACACCUGGAAGAUUUGCUUUCACACAGCCCCUAAGGCUGGAGAACCCCACCCCAAACCUAAGCUAGCAAGUCCCUGCACAAUA